rnacentral:rRNA from 1 species
AAUCCAUAGGUUAAUGAGGCGAACCGGGGGAACUGAAACAUCUAAGUACCCCGAGGAAAAGAAAUCAACCGAGAUUCCCCCAGUAGCGGCGAGCGAACGGGGAGGAGCCCAGAGCCUGAAUCAGCAUGUGUGUUAGUGGAAGCGUCUGGAAAGGCGCGCGAUACAGGGUGACAGCCCCGUACACAAAAGCGCAUGUGCUGUGAGCUCGAUGAGUAGGGCGGGACACGUGGUAUCCUGUCUGAAUAUGGGGGGACCAUCCUCCAAGGCUAAAUACUCCUGACUGACCGAUAGUGAACCAGUACCGUGAGGGAAAGGCGAAAAGAACCCCGGCGAGGGGAGUGAAAAAGAACCUGAAACCGUGUACGUACAAGCAGUGGGAGCACCCUUUGGGGUGUGACUGCGUACCUUUUGUAUAAUGGGUCAGCGACUUAUAUUCUGUAGCAAGGUUAACCGAAUAGGGGAGCCGGAGGGAAACCGAGUCUUAAUUGGGCGUUAAGUUGCAGGGUAUAGACCCGAAACCCGGUGAUCUAGCCAUGGGCAGGUUGAAGGUUGGGUAACACUAACUGGAGGACCGAACCGACUAAUGUUGAAAAAUUAGCGGAUGACCUGUGGCUGGGGGUGAAAGGCCAAUCAAACCGGGAGAUAGCUGGUUCUCCCCGAAAGCUAUUUAGGUAGCGCCUCGUGAAUUCAUCUCCGGGGGUAGAGCACUGUUUCGGCUAGGGGGCCAUCCCGGCUUACCAACCCGAUGCAAACUGCGAAUACCGGAGAAUGUUAUCACGGGAGACACACGGCGGGUGCUAACGUCCGUCGUGAAGAGGGAAACAACCCAGACCGCCAGCUAAGGUCCCAAAGUCAUGGUUAAGUGGGAAACGAUGUGGGAAGGCCCAGACAGCCAGGAUGUUGGCUUAGAAGCAGCCAUCAUUUAAAGAAAGCGUAAUAGCUCACUGGUCGAGUCGGCCUGCGCGGAAGAUGUAACGGGGCUAAACCAUGCACCGAAGCUGCGGCAGCGACACUCAGGUGUUGUUGGGUAGGGGAGCGUUCUGUAAGCCUGUGAAGGUGGCCUGUGAGGGUUGCUGGAGGUAUCAGAAGUGCGAAUGCUGACAUAAGUAACGAUAAAGCGGGUGAAAAGCCCGCUCGCCGGAAGACCAAGGGUUCCUGUCCAACGUUAAUCGGGGCAGGGUGAGUCGACCCCUAAGGCGAGGCCGAAAGGCGUAGUCGAUGGGAAACGGGUUAAUAUUCCCGUACUUGGUGUUACUGCGAAGGGGGGACGGAGAAGGCUAUGUUGGCCGGGCGACGGUU